AUUGAACGCUGGCGGCAGGCCUAACACAUGCAAGUCGAGCGGUAGAGAGGUGCUUGCAUCUCUUGAGAGCGGCGGACGGGUGAGUAAUGCCUAGGAAUCUGCCUGGUGGUGGGGGAUAACGUUCGGAAACGGACGCUAAUACCGCAUACGUCCUACGGGAGAAAGCGGGGGGAUCUUCGGACCUCGCGCCAUUAGAUGAGCCUAGGUCGGAUUAGCUAGUUGGUGAGGUAAUGGCUCACCAAGGCGACGAUCCGUAACUGGUCUGAGAGGAUGAUCAGUCACACUGGAACUGAGACACGGUCCAGACUCCUACGGGAGGCAGCAGUGGGGAAUAUUGGACAAUGGGCGAAAGCCUGAUCCAGCCAUGCCGCGUGUGUGAAGAAGGGUCUUCGGAUUGUAAAGCACUUUAAGUUGGGAGGAAGGGUAGGUAACCUAAUACGUUGCUACUUUGACGUUACCGACAGAAUAAGCACCGGCUAACUUACGUGCCAGCA
rnacentral:rRNA from 1 species